rnacentral:sRNA from 1 species
UAACUGGUGAGGAAGGAAAAGAGAGGUUUUUGAUUACAUUAGCCAAUGCAUGCGUCUGCUUGAAAAUGCCAAUAGUUCGAAGCUAUGCAGAAGUAAUGGAAAACAAAUCGCGUAAAUUUCUUCAGAGAAUGAGGGUGAGGUGGUUUUUCAUCCCCCCCCAACAGAAUAAGAGCAAACAGCGAUAUUAUGAGAAGUACUCGAGCCCGAAGAAUAAAAGCUGAACAAAAGAAAACAAAUUCUAAUGAAAUGUAUCUAUAGAUGCAGGGAGAGGUAAGAGUGUUUCUGGCAUUAGGUAAAAAAUAAAUAAGAAUACAGACACAGCACAUCCAUUAAAAGAAAGAAAACCCAACUGUUGAAAUGCGUCGCCGAGAGAGA